rnacentral:rRNA from 1 species
GAUGAACGCUGGCGGCGUGCCUAAUACAUGCAAGUCGAGCGAACAGACGAGGAGCUUGCUCCUCUGACGUUAGCGACGGACGGGUGAGUAACACGUGGAUAACCUACCUAUAAGACUGGGAUAACUUCGGGAAACCGGAGCUAAUACCGGAUAAUAUAUUGAACCGCAUGGUUCAAUAGUGAAAGACGGUUUUGCUGUCACUUAUAGAUGGAUCCGCGCCGCAUUAGCUAGUUGGUAAGGUAACGGCUUACCAAGGCAACGAUGCGUAGCCGACCUGAGAGGGUGAUCGGCCACACUGGAACUGAGACACGGUCCAGACUCCUACGGGAGGCAGCAGUAGGGAAUCUUCCGCAAAGGGCGAAAGCUUGACGGAGCAACGCCGCGUGAGUGAUGAAGGUCUUCGGAUCGUAAAACUCUGUUAUUAGGGAAGAACAAAUGUGUAAGUAACUAUGCACGUCUUGACGGUACCUAAUCAGAAAGCCACGGCUAACUACGUG